CAUAAGUGAUGCAGUUAAAUUUUUCACCACAGAUUUACCUUGGAAAAUUGUGGAGUUUUGUGGAACUCAACACUGUCUCCUAGCCUACUGCUGAAGUCGUGCGUUAAAUUUGAAUUUAUCAAGUGCACUUUACGACUUGAUAUAGUCUAAAAAUACUUACCGACAUUGCUGCAGAAUGAAGGGAGAGCUGCAGACCCAUUCAACUGUUGGCCACUGCUGCUGGUGCUGGCUAUACCUCCCAUUGUCCUUCCUUUAUGUGCGGAGUGGGGAGCGCGCGCACUGCAGGGCAUGGAAGCGCCCAUGCAAUCUCUUGCAUUUUUUCCUGUCAACAGUGUAAACAACUUAAAAUACUCCAUCAUUUCUGGUCAUACAGAUAAGAAUAAUACAUUAUUCAAAGCUUAAAUUAUUUGUGUAAACUCACAAUAUCAAGAAAACGUUGUGCUUUUGCAAAAUAAACCACCACAAAAAGGACUGUUUUAAAGGUUAUAUCUGCUAUGAAUAUGAAGUUUGAAGAUUGUUGUAUUGUACUGAAUCUUCUAUAAAGAUGAAUAUGACAUUUCGUUAAUUUAAAAAUAAGCACUUUAAUGUUGUAUAAAUAAAUAAUCAACUUUUGUUCUGUUA